CUCCAAAAAGCUAGGUCAUAUAGAGACAGAUUAAGAAGUGUUAAGUAAACAUUUAUGCAACUGUUACAUGGGAUAUGUCUUCGCUGGUUUUGCUUCCUCCAGCUCAGCAUCCAACCAGCGGUAUCUGCGGUGACGGCGAAGAACUUCAAUUGCUCUUUGUUCUAGAGGUGUUGGUUGAAUACCCAAAUCCUCCAAACCGGGGAGAUCAGGCAAUAUCAUGUCUGUCGUGUGAAAUCGGUCUACUUUGUCUCGAGUUAACCAUGGUUCAAAUGGACUGAUCUCAAAGAAUCUUGCAAUUAAAUGAUAGAGAGGACGUGGAAGUGGAUAUGGAAAAAAUUUUCGAAAAGCAACUGCAUAGAUGUAUUCUAUCAUGUCAUACAGCAGGUACCUAUUAGGUCCAACCAAGGCAUAUGUUUUUCCUUUAGCAUCAGGAUCCUUAACUGCAUUAAUAAUUGCCUUUGCUACAUCAACCACGUAUACUGGUUGCUUCACUGUUUUUUUGCCCAAAGAAAUAAGAGGCACACCACCAAACCAGCGCAUGUUCGCAUAAUGAUUGAGAAAUCGGUCCUCUCUCCCGAACAUCUCAGAAGGCUUCAUAAUUACAGCAUCUGGAAAUUCUUCCCUUACUGCUUUCUCUCCAACAGCUUUACUCCUCAGGUAUUUGGAAGGACUCUUCAUGCUAGCAUUCAGGUGAGAGAUAUGAAUGAGUGUUUCCACACCAGCCUCUCUAGUUAUCUGGGCAAUACUUUUAGGAAUAUUUACAAAUUCAUCUUCAAAACUGAAGUUUUUUGUUUCCCAUUCCUUUCCAACAAGAUUAAUGACCACAUUGCUGUGCUCCACAGCUCUUCGGGUAGAAUCUUUGUCCUUACAGUCCCACUCUAAGAAGAGAAGUUGCCCCAGGUCACCCAUUGGUCGCAGAUACAUGAGGUCAUACUGAUCACAGCGAUAAGGUAUGAUUACUUGAGAUCCAAUGCGACCUAAACGAUUGACAACGUAACGCCCCAGGAAACCUGUAGCUCCAAAGACAGUGGCCACAAUGCCACUAACAGAGGAUCGUCCGGUUCUCCCAUGAGGGAUCACCGCAUGAUGAACUUGGUGGUGCUGCUGCAACACAGA
rnacentral:lncRNA from 1 species